ACGUAGGGUGCGAGCGUUAAUCGGAAUUACUGGGCGUAAAGCGUGCGCAGGCGGUUCGCUAAGACAGGUGUGAAAUCCCCGGGCUUAACCUGGGAAUGGCGCUUGAGGCUGGCGGGCUGGAGUACGGCAGAGGGGAGUGGAAUUCCAGGUGUAGCAGUGAAAUGCGUAGAGAUCGGGAGGAACACCGAUGGCGAAGGC
rnacentral:rRNA from 1 species